GACGAACCGUGCGAACGUUGUUCGGAUUCACUGGGCUUAAAGGGCGCGUAGGCGGGCAAGCAAGUCGAAGGUGAAAUCCCACGGCUCAACCGUGGAAGUGCCCCCGAUACUGCUUGUCUUGAGGGAGAUAGGGGCGUGCGGAACUUCCGGUGGAGCGGUGAAAUGCGUAGAUAUCGGAAGGAACACCGGUAGCGAAGGCGGUCAUCUGGCUCGAUACUGACGCUCAGGGACGAAAGCGUGGGUAGCAAACAGG
rnacentral:rRNA from 1 species